UGGCGAACGGGUGAGUAACGCGUGAGGAACCUGCCUCAAAGAGGGGGACAACAGUUGGAAACGACUGCUAAUACCGCAUAAGCCCACGGGUCGGCAUCGACCUGAGGGAAAAGGAGCAAUCCGCUUUGAGAUGGCCUCGCGUCCGAUUAGCUAGUUGGUGAGGUAACGGCCCACCAAGGCGACGAUCGGUAGCCGGACUGAGAGGUUGAACGGUCACAUUGGGACUGAGACACGGCCCAG
rnacentral:rRNA from 1 species